rnacentral:rRNA from 1 species
UUAAGCGACUAAGCGUACACGGUGGAUGCCCUGGCAGUCAGAGGCGAUGAAGGACGUGCUAAUCUGCGAUAAGCGUCGGUAAGGUGAUAUGAACCGUUAUAACCGGCGAUUUCCGAAUGGGGAAACCCAGUGUGAUUCGUCACACUAUCAUUAACUGAAUCCAUAGGUUAAUGAGGCGAACCGGGGGAACUGAAACAUCUAAGUACCCCGAGGAAAAGAAAUCAACCGAGAUUCCCCCAGUAGCGGCGAGCGAACGGGGAGCAGCCCAGAGCCUGAAUCAGUGUGUGUGUUAGUGGAAGCGUCUGGAAAGGCGCGCGAUACAGGGUGACAGCCCCGUACACAAAAAUGCACAUGCUGUGAGCUCGAUGAGUAGGGCGGGACACGUGGUAUCCUGUCUGAAUAUGGGGGGACCAUCCUCCAAGGCUAAAUACUCCUGACUGACCGAUAGUGAACCAGUACCGUGAGGGAAAGGCGAAAAGAACCCCGGCGAGGGGAGUGAAAAAGAACCUGAAACCGUGUACGUACAAGCAGUGGGAGCACGCUUAGGCGUGUGACUGCGUACCUUUUGUAUAAUGGGUCAGCGACUUAUAUUCUGUAGCAAGGUUAACCGAAUAGGGGAGCCGAAGGGAAACCGAGUCUUAACUGGGCGUUAAGUUGCAGGGUAUAGACCCGAAACCCGGUGAUCUAGCCAUGGGCAGGUUGAAGGUUGGGUAACACUAACUGGAGGACCGAACCGACUAAUGUUGAAAAAUUAGCGGAUGACUUGUGGCUGGGGGUGAAAGGCCAAUCAAACCGGGAGAUAGCUGGUUCUCCCCGAAAGCUAUUUAGGUAGCGCCUCGUGAAUUCAUCUCCGGGGGUAGAGCACUGUUUCGGCAAGGGGGUCAUCCCGACUUACCAACCCGAUGCAAACUGCGAAUACCGGAGAAUGUUAUCACGGGAGACACACGGCGGGUGCUAACGUCCGUCGUGAAGAGGGAAACAACCCAGACCGCCAGCUAAGGUCCCAAAGUCAUGGUUAAGUGGGAAACGAUGUGGGAAGGCCCAGACAGCCAGGAUGUUGGCUUAGAAGCAGCCAUCAUUUAAAGAAAGCGUAAUAGCUCACUGGUCGAGUCGGCCUGCGCGGAAGAUGUAACGGGGCUAAACCAUGCACCGAAGCUGCGGCAGCGACGCUGAUGCGUUGUUGGGUAGGGGAGCGUUCUGUAAGCCUGCGAAGGUGUGCUGUGAGGCAUGCUGGAGGUAUCAGAAGUGCGAAUGCUGACAUAAGUAACGAUAAAGCGGGUGAAAAGCCCGCUCGCCGGAAGACCAAGGGUUCCUGUCCAACGUUAAUCGGGGCAGGGUGAGUCGACCCCUAAGGCGAGGCCGAAAGGCGUAGUCGAUGGGAAACAGGUUAAUAUUCCUGUACUUGGUGUUACUGCGAAGGGGGGACGGAGAAGGCUAUGUUGGCCGGGCGACGGUUGUCCCGGUUUAAGCGUGUAGGCUGGUUUUCCAGGCAAAUCCGGAAAAUCAAGGCUGAGGCGUGAUGACGAGGCACUACGGUGCUGAAGCAACAAAUGCCCUGCUUCCAGGAAAAGCCUCUAAGCAUCAGGUAACAUCAAAUCGUACCCCAAACCGACACAGGUGGUCAGGUAGAGAAUACCAAGGCGCUUGAGAGAACUCGGGUGAAGGAACUAGGCAAAAUGGUGCCGUAACUUCGGGAGAAGGCACGCUGAUAUGUAGGUGAAGCGACUUGCUCGUGGAGCUGAAAUCAGUCGAAGAUACCAGCUGGCUGCAACUGUUUAUUAAAAACACAGCACUGUGCAAACACGAAAGUGGACGUAUACGGUGUGACGCCUGCCCGGUGCCGGAAGGUUAAUUGAUGGGGUUAGCGCAAGCGAAGCUCUUGAUCGAAGCCCCGGUAAACGGCGGCCGUAACUAUAACGGUCCUAAGGUAGCGAAAUUCCUUGUCGGGUAAGUUCCGACCUGCACGAAUGGCGUAAUGAUGGCCAGGCUGUCUCCACCCGAGACUCAGUGAAAUUGAACUCGCUGUGAAGAUGCAGUGUACCCGCGGCAAGACGGAAAGACCCCGUGAACCUUUACUAUAGCUUGACACUGAACAUUGAGCCUUGAUGUGUAGGAUAGGUGGGAGGCUUUGAAGUGUGGACGCCAGUCUGCAUGGAGCCGACCUUGAAAUACCACCCUUUAAUGUUUGAUGUUCUAACGUUGACCCGUGAUCCGGGUUGCGGACAGUGUCUGGUGGGUAGUUUGACUGGGGCGGUCUCCUCCUAAAGAGUAACGGAGGAGCACGAAGGUUGGCUAAUCCUGGUCGGACAUCAGGAGGUUAGUGCAAUGGCAUAAGCCAGCUUGACUGCGAGCGUGACGGCGCGAGCAGGUGCGAAAGCAGGUCAUAGUGAUCCGGUGGUUCUGAAUGGAAGGGCCAUCGCUCAACGGAUAAAAGGUACUCCGGGGAUAACAGGCUGAUACCGCCCAAGAGUUCAUAUCGACGGCGGUGUUUGGCACCUCGAUGUCGGCUCAUCACAUCCUGGGGCUGAAGUAGGUCCCAAGGGUAUGGCUGUUCGCCAUUUAAAGUGGUACGCGAGCUGGGUUUAGAACGUCGUGAGACAGUUCGGUCCCUAUCUGCCGUGGGCGCUGGAGAAUUGAGGGGGGCUGCUCCUAGUACGAGAGGACCGGAGUGGACGCAUCACUGGUGUUCGGGUUGUCAUGCCAAUGGCACUGCCCGGUAGCUAAAUGCGGAAGAGAUAAGUGCUGAAAGCAUCUAAGCACGAAACUUGCCCCGAGAUGAGUUCUCCCUGACUCCUUGAGAGUCCUGAAGGAACGUUGAAGACGACGACGUUGAUAGGCCGGGUGUGUAAGCGCAGCGAUGCGUUGAGCUAACCGGUACUAAUGAACCGUGAGGCUUAACCU